rfam:Beta vulgaris subsp. vulgaris chromosome 2, whole genome shotgun sequence.
AAUAACCAAAUAUAAUACUUGGACUAAGGGUAACAUUGGUAAUUUUUCGUUACAUCUCCGCCUCCUGGAGCCAAUGUAUCAUAUAUGCCCCCAAAAUAGAGAUAUAUUAAGAUAUAUAUUGAGCCUCCAGCUUUUAAAACAAAAAA